rnacentral:rRNA from 1 species
GACGAACGCUGGCGGCGUGCUUAACACAUGCAAGUCGAACGGAAAGGCCCUGCUUUUGUGGGGUGCUCGAGUGGCGAACGGGUGAGUAACACGUGAGUAACCUGCCCUUGACUUUGGGAUAACUUCAGGAAACUGGGGCUAAUACCGGAUAGGAGCUCCUGCUGCAUGGUGGGGGUUGGAAAGUUUCGGCGGUUGGGGAUGGACUCGCGGCUUAUCAGCUUGUUGGUGGGGUAGUGGCUUACCAAGGCUUUGACGGGUAGCCGGCCUGAGAGGGUGACCAGCCACAUUGGGACUGAGAUACGGCCCAGACUUCUACGGGAGGCAGCAGUGGGGAAUAUUGCACAAUGGGCGGAAGCCUGAUGCAGCAACGCCGCGUGCGGGAUGACGGCCUUCGGGUUGUAAACCGCUUUCGCCUGUGACGAAGCGUGAGUGACGGUAAUGGGUAAAGAAGCACCGGCUAACUACGUG